CUCCAAUUAGCUCAGCUGGAAGAGCGUUCGACUGUAAUUGAGAACUUCAUUGUUAUCGAAAGGUCACCUGUUCGAUCCAGGUAUUGGAGA